rnacentral:lncRNA from 1 species
UAUAUAUAUAUAUAGAGAGAGAGAGAGAGAGAGAGAGAGCAGGGCUGCUGUGCUCUCAGUAGCAUGGAGGCCUCCAUGCUCCUGAGCCAUUUUCAAUGAUGGAGUUUCCGAAUCGACGAUCGGCUCCGUUAAACUUGAUCUAGCGUAUUUGAAGUUUCUAGAAAAUAAUUUUUGCGAUUUUUCAAUAUCAUUUACCUAACAAUCGAAAUGAUUCAAAAUCAAUAAUUUUUAACAGCUGAAAAUAAAAAUUCUAUAAAAAGUGGUGAUAUAGCACUAAAAUUUUCGAUCAGAAAUAUUGAUUUUGUUGUAGAUAGUAUAAAGAAUUUUGUAUCAAAAUUUCAUCUGAUUUGAAUACUUCUAUACCGUUAAAUUUGAAAACGGUAGAUAUCAACCAUUAAAAAUUAUGAAUUUUGAAUCCUUUCGAUCACUGGGCAAAUGAUGUCAAAAAAUCGCAAAAAUUAUUUUCUAGAAAUGUCAAAUGCGCUAGAUCAAGUCUAACGGAUGCCGAUCG